rnacentral:tRNA from 1 species
GCCCCUGUGGCGGAAUUGGCUAGACGCGCUAGGUUUAGGACCUAGUACCGCAAGGUGUGCAGGUUCGACUCCUGCCAGGGGCACUA